GAUGAACGCUGGCGGCGUGCCUAAUACAUGCAAGUCGAGCGAACAGACGAGGAGCUUGCUCCUCUGACGUUAGCGGCGGACGGGUGAGUAACACGUGGAUAACCUACCUAUAAGACUGGGAUAACUUCGGGAAACCGGAGCUAAUACCGGAUAAUAUAUUGAACCGCAUGGUUCAAUAGUGAAAGACGGUUUUGCUGUCACUUAUAGAUGGAUCCGCGCCGCAUUAGCUAGUUGGUAAGGUAACGGCUUACCAAGGCAACGAUGCGUAGCCGACCUGAGAGGGGGGUCGGCCACACGGGAACGGAGACACGGUCCAGACUCCUACGGGAGGCAGCAGUAGGGAAUCUUCCGCAAUGGGCGAAAGCCUGACGGAGCAACGCCGCGUGAGUGAUGAAGGUCUUCGGAUCGUAAAACUCUGUUAUUAGGGAAGAACAAAUGUGUAAGUAACUAUGCACGUCUUGACGGUACCUAAUCAGAAAGCCACGGCUAACUACGUG
rnacentral:rRNA from 1 species